ACAUUUCGAUUUUUUUUUUUAAAUUUAACCAAAGUUUACUGCAAGGGGUGUUUAACGACCUCGAUGAUUAUCCAUGAGGAUCUCGCACUCGGUCAGCUCUAGGUUUUCACCUAGUUCAUGAUCAUACAAGAAUUGAGAAGCCUGUGGUUUACUAGUCUUAUAAUAUGAGACUUUGGAGUUCAUAUAAUUUACAUUCAACGUUUUUAUCGAAUAUUUCAAGGCUUUUUGACUAUCAAUGUUGACCCCCCC
rnacentral:lncRNA from 1 species